UAAAGUAUGUGAAAUACAGUCCAUGGGCAGACACAGCGUUCUGUCUUCUGGCACCCGGGACACUUCAGAGUAAUUUAUUAUAGGUCAUUCAUAAAUGAAAUGCACCAUUAUAUCUUCCUGUUGCUCCAUUUUAGUGUAGAGAUCUAAGUUAUGGCUGCGAAGAAAUCUUUUUAAUAGAUAAAAAUAGAGAAAGAAAAUAAUGUCACUGCUGCGGAGGAGGCGAAGCUGGUCGGGUUGGCUUGGGCUUGUGUGGGAUAGCGACCUCUGGUGGGAAGUGGGAGGUAAUGCCGCUAAGCAAACUUGGUCUUCUGGGUUUCUGGAAGACUCUGGUGCAGGCAAGAGUAACAGUUCUGGUAAGAAAGAGGAGAGGGGCAAGAGCUGAGGUGGAAGAGAGGUAUGACAGUCAGGCCUGGCUCUGCGUUCCCAGGUGUGUACCUCACUGGCUUGUGAUAGGGGCCUAGGAGAGCCAUUGGGCCACGCUUCCCCUGAGUAGGUGCCAAUUACAGACAGACUUGCAGGGACUACCCGCAGUGGAUUCUGCAGUAAGAACAGAAUCCAGGGAACCUUUUCUGAGACCCAAGCCACAUAACUCCUCUGUUGUUAGAGUUAUGGAUUAUCAUGCACUAGAAUGCCAACUCCACAAGGCAGGGAGUUCUCUCCAUCCUUCACACAUAGAAUACUGCCUGUCAUAGAGUACAAGUUCCAUAAAUAUUUGUGGGAUGAACGAAUGAGUCAUUACCACUAGCUUUUCAUUAGUGGACACUCCUAGGCAUCAGGCUCUGUGCUACAUCCUUUAAGUAUAGUAUUUUUCAUUCUUACCAAGCCCUGUUAGGAGGGUGCACUUUUUCCAUUUAUCUAGAAAUGGAAAGAGGUGCAGUAUAGACCUCCACCCCCACCCUUGUCAGAUAGUUAACAAGAUGCUAAGCCCUAGAUUCCAUUUCAGAUUGUGGUUAUAGUCAGAGUUCUUUCUGUUCUCUGUGGCUCCAGAGUUGAAGUUCAAUUGCUUUGUCUAACUGAGAGAACAUUUGAAACCUGGAGUAGUUAAAUCACUUGUUCACAUUCAUGUGAUAAGGUAGAAAUAGAAAAGAAACCAGGGCAUUUCCCAUUAGAUUGUAAAAUAAAGGCAGAUAUACCUGUUAACUUUGACUUGUAUGCUUAUGUCAGCAUUUAAAGACAUUUUGCAAAGCAUUUAUUAGCCAUUGUCUAUUCUUCAAGCCAUAAGUUAAUAUUUUCUUUAUUUUGUAUUGUCUCCGUUCGCCCUUGCUGCUGUGACAGAAUCCUGUUGAGUAGAACAAUGAGCAUUUAUUUCUCAUAGUCUGAAAGCUGGAGUAGAUACAGAAGCCAAGGGUUGGCUCUCCCAGGAUGCAGCAUGACUUCUUUCCUUUUUUCUUCACUGGCCUGUUGGACCAGAGAUUCAUGAAGACGAGAUUCCCCAUCUGCUUGAUCCAAAAGUCAGAGAAUGAAAGACAGGUCAACUAAUUGGCUAGGGCUCAGCUGGAUGGUUCUUCUGCUGGUCUUACUUUGGAUAACUCAUGUUACCACCAUGAUUUGAAACUGUUGGAGCUGGAUGGUCUAAAUGGUCUCACCCAUAUGUUCUGGAAAUGGAUGCAGGCUGUUGGCUGAACUGCUCAUCUCUAACAGGCUGCAUGACCCACAUCACAGGAGAGGAAUGUUCCAGAACAACGUCUAGGGUACAAGUACUUUGAAGAAAAGUCACUCUUGGGAGAAUCCCUGAAUCCGUCUCCACUGCCGUGGUCUUGGUCAGCCAGAGACAUGGAGUUUCUUCUACUGAUCGCCUCUGGUUAAUUUUCCAUGCAACUUGACAAAAAGGAAUAUGACAAGUUCUAUCUCAGCUCCAAAUCAGGCAAGACAGGGCUGUGUUUGUCCUCGCUGACCCAGGGGACCGAGGAGCCAAUUAAAACUCCUUCUCCUAUUUCAUUCUGUGGUGGUGGAAUCAACACAGAGUUGAAGAGCAGCUCCAGCGCAUGCGGGGUGAAGGCGCUGGGGCUUCCUGGCUGGUGUGGGUUUGGGGGAGACCGCCCAGAUCAGCCCCCUUUAUCACUUUUUAGGUUGUCAAAUGAUGGCACUUCUGUCACACAAAGUGUCCUAAAUGUGCCAGACUCUGGGAAAUCCCCUGGAUUUACUGGCAUAGGAUAGCUGAAGCUUCUUGAAGCCUGUAGACCUUUUUCCCAAGGAAUUCCCAUGACCGGGGCAUUCAGAGGAUCUCUCUUCUUGGUGUUUGUGUAAAGGCAGGUUCAGGUUUUGUGGGGUGUGAAACUUGACUAACUUGAAGAGUCCUUCUUAAGAUGAAAGUUACAUGAUUAUAAACGUAUGAAAAUAAUGUUUAUUUGAAAUAAAAAUAUAUGAAAGAAAACUUUAAAAACUUUAAGUGAAUAAAUCCCACCAAUGUGAAAACACUAGAAAAGAAGCAAUCCUUUUAAAUGAAAUAUGCCUAUAUGGGAAGUUUUUCCCUAUUUUUUUUCCCCCUGCAAAUUCCCUUAUAGCUUCAUUAUGGCAUGAAAUUUUGUGAUGUUUUCUGUAGAAAAAAAAAAGAUAACUCCUUCUUAGAGCAUGAAUGAUUGAAGUUUUUAUUUUUAUUUUUAUAGUUGAGAAAUGUUCUAUUUCACUGCUGCUGUGGGUUGGAUAAGUUUUGCACAAAGGUCUGUGUGUUAAUGGCUUGGUGCCCAGGGUGGCACUGUUGGGAGGUGGUGAAACCAUUAGGAAGUGGAACCUAGUGGGAAGUCCUUAGGUCACUGGGAGCAUGCUCUCAAAGGGGAUCAUGGGAUCAGGGCUUCUUCCUUUAUUUCUCUUUCUUCCUGGCUCAUGAGGUGAGCCAUUUGCUCUAUUACAUAUUCCCCACCAUUACCAUCUGGUAUGCCCACUAAAGUCCCAGAACAAUGGGUCUACCAGAUCUUGCACUGAAACUUUUUAGCACUGUGAGACAAAAUCUACCUUUUUUCCCCUUUAUUAGUUUCUUAUCUCAGGUAUUUCAUUAUAGUGAUGGAAAUCUGACUCACUAUUAUUCAUUGUUGGUAGUUUCACCAGUGUACCUUCAGUAUAACUUUUGAGAUGAUUUUAUUUUGGAGAAACUCUUUCCCAUUUCUUUCAUAUUUGAGCUUUUUAAGAUUUCAGAACAUUUUGGUGAGGGAUGAUGGUGUGCAUGUGCCUUUGCAAGUAUGCACAUGCUCAACAUCUUCUUCUUCAAUGUUUGAAUUGAUGAAUUUGUUAAUCAUUGCAUCUUCAGUUUUAUCCUGUCCCUGCAUGUUGAUGUCAGCCUGGUGAGAGGUGGAACUAUUACUGGAAGUCAUUCCUACUGAAACUGUUGUAAUAAUUUAAUCAGACACAGAAGUGACUAUAGGCUACACAAAUACAUUCUACUAAGUAAACAUGACUCCUAGAGAGUUCUCCUUAGCCAGAUCCCUAGGAUUCCCAUAGCCAUUCCUUUUGUCACCUAAUUCAAGGGGAAAUGUGAUGGAGAAAGAUAAUAAUUUUAACUGAUUUGCAUUCAAAUAACCAGUUUUGCAAACUUUAAAAAAAUAAUACAUGUCCAUGUGACUGUGUCAGGAGGGUCUUCCCCAGGGCUUUGAAAGGGCCCUGUGUAAGCAAGGAGCCCUUCACACAUAUGCCUUAAUAGCGCUAUGUUAAA